ACCAGAUCAGAGGAAGGAGAAGACCGAGAACCAGCCGACCACCGCUGCCACCAACAUGAGUGAAGACCAUCAACGCAGGACCACCACCGACAGCUCCCCCCACAACCGCCGGCCAUCUAAAACAGAAGAAGAGGAAACAAAAACAACAUGCAGAGAGGAAUAGAUCUGAAAAUGAGAAGGGAGAGAAGCAGAUCUAGACUAAAAUGGAGUGAAAUCGACUGUUUGUUGGGUUUUUGUUCUUUUGUAGGUGACGGUGGGUGUCACCACCGGCAGAGAAGGGAAAAGGAAAGGAAGUUGAGCCAGACCC
rnacentral:lncRNA from 1 species